CGGAUGCUCACGUGUGGGAGCGGUGCUGCUCCGGCGAGCUCCUUCACCCUCGAGCACGGCGCGUCGUCGACAGCCUCCAUCCUCUUCUUCCCUCUUCCAUCAGCCAAGCACAACUCCGUUUCACAGGUCCUUCAGAAAAUGGGAAAAGGGGUUUUCUUCCAUGUUUAUCUACAAAAUGUUUCAAUGCCUCUGUUUAUAGGAGGCACGGAGAUGUUUCCUGAACGGAUGUGCAAUCUGGUUUAAAAUGGGCGAUGGCACAAAAUUAGGCUCUCUUAGGAGUCGGAAUGGCGCUCUUAGAUGCCCAUUUGAUUUCAGUGGAGCUGGUGCUUGUGUGUUCAGAUGAAGACAGGAAUUGUGUGAGGGAUUAGAAAAGAAAAUUAUGGCAGAGAUAAUGCCAUAGGCGUGGGUAAGUCGUGAUGUGAGGAGAUGCAUACACAUGUGUAUACAUUCCAAUUCUGCACUCAUAUGUACUCCUACUUUUUUUUGAGACAAAAAUGUGCUCCUGCUAA